CACAUUACAGACACAUUACAGAGAUACAGACACAUUACAGAGAUACAGACACAUUAUAUAGAUACAGACACAUUACAGACACAUUAUAUAGAUACAGACACAUUACAGACACAUUACAGAGACAGACACAUUACAGAGAUACAGACACAUUACAGAGACAUUACAGAGAUACAGACACAUUACAGAGAUACAGACACAUUAUAUAGAUACAGAGACAUUACAGAGACACAUUACAGAGAUACAGACACAUUACAGAGAUACAGACACAUUACAGAGAUACAGACACAUUACAGACACAUUACAGAGAUACAGACACAUUACAGAGAUACAGACACAUUACAGAGAUACAGACACAUUACAGAGAUACAGACACAUUAUAUAGAUACAGACACAUUACAGAGACAUUAUAUAGAUACAGACACAUUACAGAGACAGACACAUUACAGAGAUACAGACACAUUACAGAGAUACAGACACAUUACAGAGAUACAGACACAUUACAGAGAUACAGACACAUUACAGAGAUACAGACACAUUAUAUAGAUACAGACACAUUACAGAGACACAUUACAGAGAUACAGACACAUUACAGAGACACAUUACAGAGAUACAGACACAUUACAGAGACACAUUACAGAGAUACAGAUACAUUACAGAGAUACAGACACAUUACAGAGAUACAUUACAGAGAUACAGACACAUUACAGAGACACAGACACAUUACAGAGACACAGACACAUUACAGAGACACAUUACAGAGAUACAGACACAUUACAGAGACACAUUACAGAGAUACAGACACAUUACAGAGACACAUUACAGAGAUACAGACACAUUACAGAGAUACAGACACAUUACAGAGACACAGACACAUUACAGAGAUACAGACACAUUACAGAGACACAUUACAGAGAUACAGACACAUUACAGAGACACAGACACAUUACAGACACAUUACAGAGACACAUUACAGAGACAGAGACAUUACAGAGACAGACACAUUACAGAGACACAGACACAUUACAGAGAUACAGACACAUUACAGAGACACAUUACAGAGACACAUUACAGAGAUACAGACAUAUUACAGAGACACAUUACAGAGAUACAGACACAUUCCAGAGACACAGACACAUUACAGAGAUACAUUACAGAGAUACAUUACAGAGACACAUUACAGAUACAUUACAGAGCUGGAUAAAAUCAAGUUCUACUGUUCACACAGUCGUCAGCUUGUUACAUUCUUUUUAAAGUGGUUAUGGUUGGUAUGGCUUGGAGUUUCUGUGGUGUUCUACUCAACAGCGCUGGUAUACAGUAUAUACACAUCUGUUCUUUCCAGAUAGACUCAUAUUUAAAAAACUGUGAAUAUUAGAGUCUCUGGCUCUGGUAAGAAAUAUAAAAAAAGUUGGAUAGAUAUCUGGGGGCUGAGUCCAUGCUAAUUCUGUGGACCAGACCAAGAUUA
rnacentral:lncRNA from 1 species